UACGGAGGGAGCAAGCGUUACUCGGAAUUAUUGGGCGUAAAGGGCGCGUAGGCGAUUUGAAAAGUCUUGUGUGAAAGCCCCGAGCUUAACUCGGGAAGUGCACAAGAAACUGUUGAAUUUGAGUUCCGGAGAGGAAGGCAGAAUUCCCGGUGUAGCGGUGAAAUGCGUAGAUAUCGGGAGGAAUACCAGUGGCGAAGGCGGCCUUCUGGACCAGCACUGACACUGAGGCACGAAAGCGUGGGGAGCAAACAGG
rnacentral:rRNA from 1 species